CGAUGAACGCUGGCGGCGUGCCUAAUACAUGCAAGUCGAGCGAACAGAUGAGAAGCUUGCUUCUCUGAUGUUAGCGGCGGACGGGUGAGUAACACGUGGGUAACCUACCUAUAAGACUGGGAUAACUCCGGGAAACCGGGGCUAAUACCGGAUAAUAUUUUGAACCGCAUGGUUCAAUAGUGAAAGACGGUUUCGGCUGUCACUUAUAGAUGGACCCGCGCCGUAUUAGCUAGUUGGUAAGGUAACGGCUUACCAAGGCGACGAUACGUAGCCGACCUGAGAGGGUGAUCGGCCACACUGGAACUGAGACACGGUCCAGACUCCUACGGGAGGCAGCAGUAGGGAAUCUUCCGCAAUGGGCGAAAGCCUGACGGAGCAACGCCGCGUGAGUGAUGAAGGUCUUCGGAUCGUAAAACUCUGUUGUUAGGGAAGAACAAAUUUGUUAGUAACUGAACAAGUCUUGACGGUACCUAACCAGAAAGCCACGGCUAACUACGUGCCAGCAGCCGCGGUAAUACGUAGGUGGCAAGCGUUAUCCGGAAUUAUUGGGCGUAAAGCGCGCGUAGGCGGUUUCUUAAGUCUGAUGUGAAAGCCCACGGCUCAACCGUGGAGGGUCAUUGGAAACUGGGAAACUUGAGUGCAGAAGAGGAGAGUGGAAUUCCAUGUGUAGCGGUGAAAUGCGCAGAGAUAUGGAGGAACACCAGUGGCGAAGGCGGCUCUCUGGUCUGUAACUGACGCUGAUGUGCGAAAGCGUGGGGAUCAAACAGGAUUAGAUACCCUGGUAGUCCACGCCGUAAACGAUGAGUGCUAAGUGUUAGGGGGUUUCCGCCCCUUAGUGCUGCAGCUAACGCAUUAAGCACUCCGCCUGGGGAGUACGACCGCAAGGUUGAA
rnacentral:rRNA from 1 species